rnacentral:rRNA from 1 species
ACUACAAAUACCUGUGACAUACCUUAAUGUUGCCUCGGCGGAUCAGCCCGCGCCCUGUAAAACGGGACGGCCCGCCAGAGGACCCAAACUCUAAUGUUUCUUAUUGUAACUUCUGAGUAAAACAAACAAAUAAAUCAAAACUUUCAACAACGGAUCUCUUGGUUCUGGCAUCGAUGAAGAACGCAGCAAAAUGCGAUAAGUAAUGUGAAUUGCAGAAUUCAGUGAAUCAUCGAAUCUUUGAACGCACAUUGCGCCCGCUGGUAUUCCGGCGGGCAUGCCUGUUCGAGCGUCAUUUCAACCCUCAAGCCCUCGGGUUUGGUGUUGGGGAUCGGCUCUGCCUUCUGGCGGUGCCGCCCCCGAAAUACAUUGGCGGUCUCGCUGCAGCCUCCAUUGCGUAGUAGCUAACACCUCGCAACUGGAACGCGGCGCGGCCAUGCCGUAAAACCCCAACUUCUGAAUGUUGACCUCGGAUCAGGUAGGAAUACCCGCUGAACUUAAGCAUAUCAAA